UCUUCCGUGGCGCAAUCGGUGGCGCGUCUGACUGUUACCUAAUUAACGACAUCAGAAGGUUGCUGGUUCGAGCCCAGCCGGGAGAG